rnacentral:rRNA from 1 species
UACGUAGGGUGCAAGCGUUGUCCGGAAUUAUUGGGCGUAAAGCGCUCGCAGGCGGUUCAGUAAGUCGGUUGUGAAAACUCUGGGCUCAACCCGGAGACGCCAACCGAUACUGCUGUGACUCGAGUCUGGUAGGGGAGCACGGAAUUCCUGGUGUAGCGGUGAAAUGCACAGAUAUCAGGAGGAACACCGGUGGCGAAGGCGGUGCUCUGGGCCAGUACUGACGCUGAUGAGCGAAAGCGUGGGUAGCGAACAGG